CCUACGGGAGGCAGCAGUAAGGAAUAUUGGUCAAUGGAGGCAACUCUGAACCAGCCAUGCCGCGUGCAGGAAGACAGCCCUAUGGGUCGUAAACUGCUUUUAUACGGGAAUAAACUUUGAUUCGUGAAUCAAGCUGAAUGUACCGUAAGAAUAAGGAUCGGCUAACUCCGUGCCAGCAGCCGCGGUAAUACGGAGGAUCCAAGCGUUAUCCGGAUUUAUUGGGUUUAAAGGGAGCGUAGGCGGCCUAUUAAGUCAGGGGUGAAAGACGGUGGCUCAACCAUCGCAGUGCCUUUGAUACUGAUGGGCUUGAAUAUAGUUGAGGUAGGCGGAAUGUGACAAGUAGCGGUGAAAUGCAUAGAUAUGUCACAGAACACCGAUUGCGAAGGCAGCUUACUAAGCUAAUGAUUGACGCUGAGGCUCGAAAGCGUGGGGAUCAAACAGGAUUAGAUACCCUGGUAGUCCACGCCCUAAACGAUGAUAACUCGAUGUUGGUGAUAUACAGUACGAGCGUCCGAACGACGAAAGAACGUUAAGUUAAGUAACUACCGUAGGGUUAGGUUACGUCCGCCGAAGGUAGGAACGACGAAGAAGUUAGAGGCGNGAGAGNGCGAGACGACGACGAGGAGGAGG
rnacentral:rRNA from 1 species